rnacentral:rRNA from 1 species
ACGCUGGCGGCAGGCCUAACACAUGCAAGUCGAGCGGUAGAGAGAAGCUUGCUUCUCUUGAGAGCGGCGGACGGGUGAGUAAUGCCUAGGAAUCUGCCUGGUAGUGGGGGAUAACGUUCGGAAACGGACGCUAAUACCGCAUACGUCCUACGGGAGAAAGCAGGGGACCUUCGGGCCUUGCGCUAUCAGAUGAGCCUAGGUCGGAUUAGCUAGUUGGUGAGGUAAUGGCUCACCAAGGCGACGAUCCGUAACUGGUCUGAGAGGAUGAUCAGUCACACUGGAACUGAGACACGGUCCAGACUCCUACGGGAGGCAGCAGUGGGGAAUAUUGGACAAUGGGCGAAAGCCUGAUCCAGCCAUGCCGCGUGUGUGAAGAAGGUCUUCGGAUUGUAAAGCACUUUAAGUUGGGAGGAAGGGCAGUUACCUAAUACGUGAUUGCUUUGACGUUACCGACAGAAUAAGCACCGGCUAACUCUGUGCCAGCAGCCGCGGUAAUACAGAGGGUGCAAGCGUUAAUCGGAAUUACUGGGCGUAAAGCGCGCGUAGGUGGUUUGUUAAGUUGGAUGUGAAAUCCCCGGGCUCAACCUGGGAACUGCAUUCAAAACUGACUGACUAGAGUAUGGUAGAGGGUGGUGGAAUUUCCUGUGUAGCGGUGAAAUGCGUAGAUAUAGGAAGGAACACCAGUGGCGAAGGCGACCACCUGGACUGAUACUGACACUGAGGUGCGAAAGCGUGGGGAGCAAACAGGAUUAGAUA